rnacentral:rRNA from 1 species
UACGAAGGGGGCUAGCGUUGUUCGGAAUCACUGGGCGUAAAGCGCACGUAGGCGGAUUGUUAAGUCGGGGGUGAAAUCCUGAGGCUCAACCUCAGAACUGCCUUCGAUACUGGCCAUCUCGAGUCCGGAAGAGGUUGGUGGAACAGCUAGUGUAGAGGUGAAAUUCGUAGAUAUUAGCUAGAACACCAGUGGCGAAGGCGGCCAACUGGUCCGGUACUGACGCUGAGGUGCGAAAGCGUGGGGAGCAAACAGG